UACGAAGGGGGCUAGCGUUGCUCGGAAUGACUGGGCGUAAAGGGCGCGUAGGCGGUUCAUACAGUCAGAUGUGAAAUUCCUGGGCUCAACCUGGGGGCUGCAUUUGAUACGUGUGGACUAGAGUGGGGAAGAGGGUCGUGGAAUUCCCAGUAUAGAGGUGAAAUUCGUAGAUAUUGGGAAGAACACCGGUGGCGAAGGCGGCGACCUGGUCCUUGACUGACGCUGAGGCGCGAAAGCGUGGGGAGCAAACAGG
rnacentral:rRNA from 1 species